rnacentral:tRNA from 2 species
CAGGUUGUAGUCUAAUUGGUAGGGCACUCGCUUUGGGUGCGAGAGUGUGCGGGUUCAAGUCCAGCCAUCCUGA